AUCGAACGCUGGCGGCAGGCCUAAUACAUGCAAGUCGAACGAGUGGCGGACGGGUGAGUAAUGUCUGGGAAAGUGCCUGAUGGAGGGUGAUAACUACUGGAAACGGUAGCUAAUACCGCUUACUAUCCUAUCUGCCCUGAGGGGAUUAGCUAGUUGGUGGGGUAACGGCUCACCAAGGCAAAGAUCCCUAGCAGGUCUGAGAGGAUGACCAGCCACACUGGAACUGGGACACGGUCCAGACUCCUACGGGAGGCAGCAGUGGGGAAUAUUGCACAAUGGGCGCAAGCCUGAUGGAGCAAUGCCGCGUGUAUGAAGAAGGCCUUCGGGUUGUAAAGUACUUUCAGCGGGGAGGCGUUACCCACACAAAAAGCAACGGCUAACUCCGUGCCAGCAGCCGCGGUAAUAC
rnacentral:rRNA from 1 species